AGAGUUUGAUUCUGGCUCAGAACGAACGCUGGCGGCGUGGAUUAGGCAUGCAAGUCGAACGGGAAACCAUUGAUCAACCCUUCGGGAGAGUGAUGUGGCGGAUAGUGGCGAAAGGGUGAGGAACACGUGGGCAACUUACCCUCAAGUUGGGAAUAACUCUCCGAAAGGAGGGCUAAUACCGAAUGUGGACAUAUUCUCGCAUGUGAAUAUGUCUAAAGGUGGGGAUCCUUCGGGACCUACCGCUUGAGGAGAGGCUCGCGUCCUAUCAGCUUGUUGGUGAGGUAACGGCCCACCAAGGCUUACGGGUAGCUGGUCUGAGAGGAUGGUCAGCCACACUGGGACUGAGACACUGCCCAGACUCCUACGGGAGGCUGCAGUCGAGGAUCAUUCGCAAUGCGCGAAAGCGUGACGAUGCGACGCCGCGUGGAGGAUGACGGCCUUCGGGUUGUAAACUCCUGUCAUUCGGGAGCAACGGUCACGGUGCCAAUACCAUCGUGAUUUGAUAGUACCGAAAGAGGAAGCCACGGCUAACUCUGUGCCAGCAGCCGCGGUAAUACAGAGGUGGCGAGCGUUGUUCGGAUUUACUGGGCGUAAAGGGUGCGUAGGUGGUUUCGUGUGUCGGAUGUGAAAUCUCACGGCUCACCCGUGAAACUGCAUUCGAAACUGCGAGACUAGAGUACUGGAGAGGAGAGCGGAAUUCCUGGUGUAGCGGUGAAAUGUGUAGAUAUCAGGAAGAACACCGGUGGCGAAGGCGGCUCUCUGGACAGAUACUGACACUGAGGCACGAAAGCUAGGGAGCAAACAGGAUUAGAUACCCUGGUAGUCCUAGCCGUAAACGGUGUGCACUUGGUGUGGGGGGAGUUGAUCCCCUCCGUGCUGGAGCUAACGCGUUAAGUGCACCGCCUGGGGAGUACGGCCGCAAGGCUAAAACUCAAAGAAAUUGACGGGGGCCCGCACAAGCGGAGGAGCAUGUGGCUUAAUUCGAUGCAACGCGAAGAACCUUACCAGGGCUUGACAUGUAGUUGCACGUCCGGUGAAAGCUGGAUUCUUUCGAAGGUACUACACAGGUGCUGCAUGGCUGUCGUCAGUUCGUGCCGUGAGGUGUUGGGUUAAGUCCCGCAACGAACGCAACCCUUGUGUCUAGUUGCCCCACCGGUGAUGAGCCGGUGAGCACUCUAGACAGACUGCCUGUGAUAAGCAGGAGGAAGGUGGGGAUGACGUCAAGUCCGUAUGGCCUUUAUGCCCUGGGCUGCACGUGCUACAAUGGCUGGUACAGAAGGAUGCAAUACCGCGAGGUGGAGCAAAUCCCCAAAACCAGCCCCAGUUCGGAUUGGAGUCUGCAACUCGACUCCAUGAAGUUGGAUUCGCUAGUAACGGCGUAUCAGCUACGGCGCCGUGAAUACGUUCCCGGGCCUUGUACACACCGCCCGUCACAUCAUGAAAGCCGUCUGCACCCGAAGUCGCUGAUCCAACCUCUCACGAGGAGGAAGGU
rnacentral:rRNA from 1 species